rnacentral:tRNA from 1 species
AGGGCUAUAGCUCAGUUAGGUAGAGCACCUCGUUUACACGAAUACCCAGUCUAUUCAAUGCUAGGCAUAAUGAGUA